UGCCAUCUACACUAGAGUUAUUGCAGUUUGACACCACUUUAACUGCCUUGGCUCAAUAUUGGGGAUCACGAGAAUGGUAGGUUAUAAGGCCUUUAGGCUUUUCUGCCACAUUGUGCUGGUGCUUCACCAAACUACAGCUCUCAGAUUUUCAUUGCAUUGAACAGUUAAGUGGCGCCAAACUGCAUUCAUUCUACAAUGUAGAUGCAGACCUAGUUAGCAGAUUGCUUUUUUUGCAAUACUGGAAGUUAUACAGUAUAUUUCAUGCAAUGUGGUUGGAGAUCAGAGAUUGCAUCCUCAUUCAGCCAUGGAAACCCACUGGAUUUUUUUUUCCUUUUUAGGAGCGAUUUGAAAAGCUGCAAGUUGUUUCUGGCAUGAGAUAAUUGACUGUCUGCAAGGCCGUUGCCCAGGGGAUGCCUGGAUGUUUUUGAUGUUUUAUCAUCCUUGUGGGAGGCUUCUCUAAUGUCUCUGCAUGGAGCUGGAGCUCAUAGAGGGAGCUCAUCAGUGCUUCCCCCAGCAAGUGUUCACGUCAUUGGACAGCAGGAAUGAGAUGAUGGCAGCCCUGGAAAAAUACUUUGAGAGCUUGAAAGGAUGAGGAAAGAAGGAGAAAAACGUCUGGAAUGAAUGAUUUCAAUGAUUGAACUUCCUUCAUUCCAAUUUACUCAAGCUGUGCAAAAUAGCAUGUUCACAUUAUGCUGCUGAUUAGUGAAAUUGGUAUGGGAGUCCAUUGUGGAUAUUCAAAUCGUCUUACAUCACAGGAUACUGCACAGGAAAGCUUGGAAAAGAUCAUGAUGCUGGGGAAAAUGGAAGGAAAAAGGAAGAGAGGCCAACCAAGGGGCAAGAUGGAUGGAUGGAUGGUAUCCUUGAAGUGACUGGCUUGACCUUGAGGGAACUGAGGGCAGUGACGGCCAACAGGGAGCUCUGGUGUGGACUAGUCCAUGAGGUCACAAAGAGUCGGAAACGACUGUGUGAAUGAAGAAGAAGAUACUGCACAAAGUUUGGAUUGGGCACUGCAUUUAGAAUUUGUAACUAUUUUCAGAAUUUUCUCAGUUGACAAUCUUAAUCUUUCAAAGAUCUUGUAAGCUUUGCUUUGGGUUGCUGUGAGUUUUCCGGGAUGUAUAGCUAUGUUCCAGAAGCAUUCUCUCCUGAUGUUUCACCCACAUCCAUGGCAGGCAUCCUCAGAGGUUGUGAGGUCUGGAUUCCAGCCAUGAAAGCCUUCAACAACACAAGUUUUGCUUUGUUUGCCAAAGAGUGUUGGCCCACCAGACUACAAUUCCCAGAAUUCCAUAACAUUAAGCCAUGGCAGCUAAAGUAUAGUCAAACUGCAUUUGUUUCAGAGUAUAGAUACAACCCGAAUCCUGUUGUUUCAUUCCGUUUUCCUUAUGUUUCAUGUUUUGUUUAGAUUGUAAACCUGAGGGCAAGGAAAUGGUUAAUCAGUAAUUUGUAAGCCACAUUGGGAGCCUUUUUAACUGCAAAGUGGCAUAUAAAUGUUUAAAAUAGAUAGGAAAAAAUAGAUACAUAAUUUAAAAGAUACUUUAUGAGGCACUUUUAUUUGUAUGCAGCAGAAUCCAGAUUCAGGCAAAUCUAUAUUGUCAUUAUAAUGCAGACUGAACCUAUAUUAUAAUAGCAUUGUAGAUGGCGCCUCAGUGGACAGGAUCUUUGCAGAGCUGAGAAAGACCAUCUGUAUUGGUUUUCGACAGAAUUAACACAUUUCUGUCAGAUUCAACCCAUGAAAUUAGCACUUGCUCAUGAGUUGCAUUGUUUAGAUUCAUCAACACUUUGUAGACUCUGGUGGCACCUUAAAGAUUUACCAAACGUACAUAUUAUAUAGAGUCCAGAAAUCACAUUCUGCUCCCAUUCAACAUUUCUCAGAUGAAUUGUCCAGUCUAUUACUACUUUUGUCUUACUUAUCUUUAACCUCCUCUAGCUUCAGGGAGACUUCAACAAGCUUGGUGUUGCAGGUUCUUGAGCAAACAAAAGACCAUCUACAUGCAGCUCGAUUGUAAGCAGAGUUGUAUUUCUGUGAUCUUGAGUGUGAGGAGCCGCGGUGGUGCAAUGGGUUAAACCCUUGUAAGCUACUGACCUGAAGGUUGGGUUGCUGACCUGAAGGUUGCCGGAUUGAAUCUGCGAGAUGAGGUGAGAUUCCAUCUGUCAGCUCUAGCUUGCGGGAACAUGAGAGAAACCUCCCAGUAACACAUCUGGGCGUCCCCUGGGCAACGUUUCUGUAGACGGCCAAUUCUCUCACACCAGAAGUAACUUGCAGUAUGUACUCGCUUCAUAGUAAAUCUGGACUGGAGAACCUACAGCCGCCUAGGCUUUCUAUUUAUUUAAUUUUUAUAUAUUUGAGAAAUUUAUGCCCCGCCUUUCCCCACCUAAGGGCCCAAGGCAGCUUACAGCAGAUAAAAACAUGCAUAACAAAAGUUAAAACAGCUGCUGGACAAUAAUUUCCUGAUUCUAACAAUGGAUGGUGGGAAUAUAAUUUCAUCAACAUCUAGAUCACAUGUAUCCUAUCCCAGUAGUAAAAGGUGAAAGUAGUAAAAGUGAAAAUGUUACUUUUACACUACCUUUUUCUAUAUACAGUAGAGUCUCACUUAUCCAACAUAAACGGGCCGGCAGAACGUUGGAUAAGUGAAUAUGUUGGAUAAUAAGGAGAAGUUAAGGAGAAGCCUAUUAAGCAUCAAAUUAGGUCAUAAUUUUACAAAUUAAUCACCAAAACAUCAUGUUAUACAACAAAUUUGACAGAAAAAGUAGUUCAAUAGGCAGUAAUUCUACAUACUAAUUACUAUAUUUACAAAUUUAGCACCAAAAUAUCACGAUGUAUUGGAAACAUUGACUACAAAAAUGCAUUGGAUAAUCCAGAACGUUGGAUAAGCAAAUGUUGGAUAAGUGAGACUCUACUGUAGUUCAGGAUUUGGCUAUUUUCACAAUAUGAUGAAUAAUCACUCCUUAUUGCUCUGCUGAACAGAAUAGAGUUCAAGGAAAAAAAAACACCUUCCCAGCAUCAUGUCUCAUUUGUUCAAAUGAAAGUAUCUAAUUUUCAUACAUUGAGUGUUCUGUUCCCAAUUUAAAUUAAGCGUUUUAAGUAUUUCCUGAAUGAUUUCAUAACCUGUUACAUAUGUAUGUGCAUGAUUCAGCUGGUAGUAGAGCUGCAUAGCUGAAGUAAUGGAUGAAAGCGGUAGAUUUAAAGGCUUUCAGGUCGAUUCUAUGUAAGUUUUGCAUAUUUGUCCCAACUAACUUCAAGCUGAAGGUAAAGCAGCUUGUUUUACUUUGGUUAAAAAGAUUUUAUGACCCUGCACAUGUCACACACACUCAGCUUUAAAGGAAGACAAAUUCUGAACAAAUAUUAUCAAGAAUAUGCCAUAAUAUGUUUGCCUUAGGAUUGCUAGAAACUAGACAUAAUUUGAAGCACACAGCAACCAACAACAGUAACAAGUUACAACAUAUGAUAGAAGCCUUGCAGCAUUUGUUUUCAUACUACUAUUCAGAUACAAUCUAUGUAUAUUUUGCAAUAUUUAUUCCAGAGUGCAUGGGAUGGAGAAAAAAAUAUCAAAAAGAAGUAGCAGUGAUUGCAGAAGGAAAAUGCUUUGAGUAAUCUAUACCUACCAGCCAGAGGCUACAGACAUAUUCAGAAGUCCUUGAACUGUGGCAGCAGUGGCAGAGAGCCUUCAUGGUCCAGUCUGGCCAUAAUUGACUUGGCCUAACUAGACUGUCACCCUUAUCCUUCCUCAUGCUGGGGUAGAGGGCUCCAGAGCUCUGGAGAGCCCCUGGCCACUAUCAGGUGUCGUUGACAUCAGCAAUGGCAUUUGCACAACCAAGGAGAAGGUUGCACAGAUUUCCUUCUUUCUGGUCAUGCGGGUGCCUUUUGAUGACACCAUUCUCUUUUCCCCUGCACUGGGACUAGCCAGUGGAAGACAGCAGACCUGUUCUCAUUGGCUUUGAAAAGUCAGCAGCAGCCACUUUGAAGCAGCCCACAGUGACAGAAGCUGAUAUGAUGCUGGAUUUUCAUUUUUUUAGAGCAGUGCUCUCAUCCUAAGAUUCAUCCCCUCACCCAGAGAAGUGAGGCCAUGCCUUGAGAUCUGGGAUUCCUAAUAGAGAUAGAUGUAGAUAUAUUCUCUUGAAAUUGAAUAUAAAGCAAAAAAACACCAGAAGUGACUUGUCAAAAACUUUUUCUGCAGUAUUGCCAGGGCUGGCUCAAGAUAUUGUGCUGCCUGAAGUUGAGAAGCAAAUGGUGUCUUUCCUACCUUCGGACCAAAGUCCUAAUGCCCAAAGCUGAUUGUAUUUUUGUACCCGAUACAGAAAAUUCCACAAAUACCUAUUUUUUCUCUCUUCCUGGUUGUAAAAAUACAACAGUAACAAAUUACUCACAAUCUGAGUUCCUGUGAAGACAUACAAAAUCACCCACCUGAGGCAGUCAUCUCAAUCUGCCUAAUGGUAGAGCAAGCCUUGCAAAAUAUUGCCCCCAUCCCAAUAAUCUGGAGUAUAUAUCAUACAAUAGAUGCAUGUUACAAUUGUAUUGGCAAGCUCGCUUGCUACCAGAGCAAGGCAGCAGUCCCAGGGUCUUGUGCUGUGAACACUAUGAUGUUCCCUUGGAUGUUGUUGUUGUUGAUCCCUGUUCACAUCACUGAGUAGUUGGCUUUGUGGUGGAUGGUGUUUGAACCAGACAGUCCUUUCUGAGGUAUUUCAGAAACCAGACUACUUUCUCUUGUAACGGCAGGUGGUCGUAAUGCGCACGUACCCUGUUGAGCAUAGGAACAUCGAAAUAUAUGUAUCAUUCAAAAAUACAAAUUUACAAGCUACUUUGGGUAGAAUUACAUCCCUAAAUGCAUCAGAAUACAUUGCAUGACUGGUAGUAACAUGCAAUAAAUAAUGUUAUCUGUAGUGAUUUACCUGGGGGAGUAACAAGGGCAUAACAAUGUUCAUUUUGCAGUGUUAUGUAAGGACUGGUAAUAAAAUCAUCAUUUUGUGGUACAGGUACCAUCUACUUGUUGCUUUUACUGUUUUCGGGGGGGAAAUCUUAUGGAUAUUUUGAGAUGGCUCUCCCAUCCUUUUAAAGUUAUAUUCUUAGAUUGUUAGAGUCGCUUCCUAAAAGUAACCAGUAACACAAGAAAUAGUGAGAUGAAGCAAUUAAUGAUAACAUCAACAGGCAAAAUUGAGUUAAGAGUAAUGGUUAUGAUUCCUUGUAACAAACACAUUUCCAAGCUUUGCUUUUACUACACAAGAAGGAUGUCUUUUCUAAAUUGUGGCCACACCAUUAAUUUAAUAUGUCCUCUCUACACGCCUCACUUCCCUGGAUUUCUGAAUGGUCAUGUAAGAAUGGUAAUAAAGUGCUUUGUGCAAUGAAGGAUGUAAGCAAAAUGUUUUUCAUCUGUUCUUAAGGGCAUUGCAUGGAGCAAAUGAUCGUGUCAUCCCAUAAAAAGCAAAUCCAGAGGGAUAAAAUGGGUAUAAUCCAAAAGUCAUAAUGUUGUUCCCAAGUUAAUCUUUUGCAGAUUAAACUUUAUAUUUAAAAGAU